GUGAAUUGUUGUUUAUUUUUUUAGGGUUUCAUAUCUUAAAGAGAUGAAAAAUCGGGGGAGGCACCCCCAAACCUCUACUCAUGCCAAUUGUCGUCGUGUUUUGAUGUCAUCUUCUUCAAAUCCAUGGAGAUUUUCAGAAGCACCUAUGAGAAGAAAGAAAGCCUCUUCUCUGUGAAAUUUUGAAUUUCCAAUUUUUCAGACUUGCAUCAAAUUUUCUCCAAUAAUCUCUCUCUCUCUCCUGCUCUUUCUAAUUUUGUCUCAGCAUUUUAUGUAGAAGAAGAUGAAGAACAUGAAGAAGGGCUAUGACAGAGGGCUGCCGUGGAUAUUAAUUUGGAGGGUUUUGCGAACUUCUCCAAUGUGUUUGGGAAGAACAGAUGAAUGAAGGGAUGAAGAUUGUAGAACUUGUUGCAGAGCAAAUUGGGAUGGACAUCAUUUCUUAUUGAUAUGUUGGAUUGGGAUGGAAACUGUGUAUCAGUCUUAUUAUGUGGAUCCCAAGUUGGAAUUACUCAUUGAAAGAAUUUACCCUCCCAGAGUUUGCAUAGAUAUGAUACCUUUCCAGACUGUACCCUUGUGAAGCCGCCACCCAACUCUGGCCACCUCCAACUAUAACCACCAGUGGCCACUGGUGGUCAUCGCUGCUCGUCAACUCUAGCGACUAUCACCACCUACGACCAUUACCACUAAUGGCCAACUCCAACCACCACCAUAAAUUCCUA